rnacentral:rRNA from 1 species
UUGGAGGGCAGUCUGGUGCAGCAGCCGCGGUAAUUCCAGCUCCAAUAGCGUAUAUUAAAGUUGUUGCAGUUAAAAAGCUCGUAGUUGAAUUUCGGGAUCAGAGUGUCGGUCGUGCCUCGGUACGCACUGGUAUUAUUGGUUCCUACCUUCUGAAGAACCGCGAUGUCAUUAAUUUGGUGUCGUGGGGAAUCAGGACUGUUACUUUGAAAAAAUUAGAGUGUUUAAAGCAGGCUUACGCUUGAAUACAUUAGCAUGGAAUAAUGAAAUAGGACGUUUGAUUCUAUUUUGUUGGUUUCUAGGAUUGACGUAAUGAUUAAUAGGGAUAGUUGGGGGCAUUAGUAUUCAAUUGUCAGAGGUGAAAUUCUUGGAUUUAUUGAAGACUAACUACUGCGAAAGCAUUUGCCAAGGAUGUUUUCAUUAAUCAAGAACGAAAGUUAGGGGAUCGAAGACGAUCAGAUACCGUCGUAGUCUUAACCAUAAACUAUGCCGACUAGGGAUCGGAUGAUGUUAAUUUUUUAAUGACUCAUUCGGCGCCUUACGGGAAAC